CGCCACUGGUGGUCCUCCCGGGAUUAUCGGAUUUCGCGAGCAGGGGGCUCCCAAGGGGGGUGAAGUCGUAACAAGGUAGCCGUAGGGGAACCUGCGGCUGGAUCACCUCCUU
rnacentral:rRNA from 1 species